GGACGGGUGAGUAACGCGUAGGCAACCUGCCCUUUGCAGAGGGAUAGCCUCGGGAAACCGGGAUUAAAACCUCAUAAUACUGCAAAUUCACAUGUAAUUGCAGUCAAAGAUUUAUCGGCAAAGGAUGGGCCUGCGUCUGAUUAGUUAGUUGGUGGGGUAACGGCUCACCAAGGCGAUGAUCAGUAGCCGACCUGAGAGGGUGAUCGGCCACAUUGGAACUGAGACACGGUCCAAACUCC
rnacentral:rRNA from 1 species